GUGCUCACUUCAGCGGCAUAUAAACUAAAAUUGGAAUGAUACAGAGAUUAGCAUGGCCCCUGCACAAGGAUGACACAAGAUGACAAGAUUUGUUAAGUGUUCCA